rnacentral:rRNA from 1 species
CCUACGGGUGGCUGCAGUGAGGAAUAUUGGUCAAUGGCCGGAAGGCUGAACCAGCCAAGCCGCGUGAGGGAGGAAGGCGCAGAGCGUCGCAGACCUCUUUUGCCGGGGGACAAAAGGCCGGACUCGUCCGGUCCUGAGGGUACCCGGAGAAAAAGCAUCGGCUAACUCCGUGCCAGCAGCCGCGGUAAUACGGAGGAUGCGAGCGUUAUCCGGAUUCAUUGGGUUUAAAGGGUGCGCAGGCGGGCCUUUAAGCCGGCGGUGAAAUCGCGGGGCUCAACCCCGGGACUGCUCUUGGAACUGCGUGGCUGGAGUGCAGGAGGGGCAGGCGGAAUUCCUGGUAUAGCGGUGAAAUGCGUAGAUAUCAGGAGGAACACCGGUGGCGAAGGCGGCCUGCUGGACUGCAACUGACGUUGAGGCCCGAAAGCGUGGGGAGCAAACAGGAUUAGAUACCCCUGUAGUC